UCCAGCCACCGCUCUCAGUUGGCUCCCGGUUGCCUCUACCUCUUGUCCCUUUCUGUAGACGCUCUUUGAGUCUGCAGGACUCUGUUCUUUCCUGCACUUCCCAGUGGCCAGCAGAGGGCGCCUCCAAAAAGACUGAGGCACCGGGGAGGAAACGGGAGAAUCCGCUUCCCUGGAUCCAGGGACAGUCCGUUUAUGUGAAAUGAAACUGACCCAGGACGCCCUCCUUCCUGGGGCUCUAGACUUAACCUGUCAGCAGAGGACUAGAGGUUAGAUCACAGGCUGAACUCAGGUGACUGCCUUAGAAGUGAACCCAGGAUGAGGGAGCUGCCCCCUCCCAACAGCCGGAAUGGGGAAGGGGCAGUGGAGGUCGCCAGCUUUCCUCCCUUGACCCUGGGAGAUGGGUUGGGAGGGGCUGCACAGAAUAGCUGGUGUCCCACCCUCUAGGAGGGGCUGCUGUGGACAUCUGGGCAACAUCUGGAUUCCUGGCAGGACAGGGAACUUGUCUAUUUGAGAUCCUCCAGGGAUAUACCAUCCACCCCUUGGUGGCCCCUCAGCACUACAUUCCUGGGGAGCUCUUUACAAACAGGUGUGUAGGACCCAGCCCCGUAAUGUGGGUGAAUUCAUGCCAAUCUAGGAGGGUCCUGACAUACGUCCUUCGGAUGUGGCCUAGGGGCCUGGGCAGCAGCCUGCUCUUCUGGGCUAUUCCACCUUUCCGCCCUCCUGCCCUCCUGUCGGAGUGCGCACGGUGAGAUGCUUGCCUUCCCUGUGUGGAAAUGCUGGGAAAUAGGAGGCUCUGGUGUCCAUCCUCUCCAUUCCCCUUCCUCCAGGAAGAAGCCAGGAAUGCAGGCCGUCUGAAUAGAUGACUGGCACGGGCUGUUCGGCCAUGUGAUCAAAAGACUCUGGCUGACUGUCUGGGCCAGUUUAUUCUGUUGCUCGCGUGUUCUCAGAAUAGGAGACCCCGAAGACAGGAACUGCAUGCAUCCAGCACAGGAAAUCUCGUACUGGAGUCAUUAAUUCAACAAACAUCUCUGGGACUGGAAUGAGACCACCCCAAUCUUGUACGUGUUCUGGGACCAUAGUUCAUCUGGUGUGAGGUGUCAGAGCUUUGGCGACUAAAAAAGGAGGAAUGUGAAAGGAGAAGAAUUUGUCAAUAUUUAUCCAAGUGGAUCCAGGGGAGGAUGCUCUGAAUCAAGACGAACUGGCCUCAAGCAGGGUUGAACUCCAUGAGCCCCAGCUCGGUUCCAGCUCUGACAUUUCAAGAGCCUUCAUCAGGCUAAAAUAAGCAGUGAGAGGCACGCUGCGGUCAGGAAAGGGCAGCCUGGGACGUGCGUGCGUGGAAGCCGGAGGCUCUCGUGGUGAGGGGGCGUAGAGGGCUAAUUGCAAGUACAUGAGCUCAGCUAGGGGCCACUUUCUCCCCUCCAUGCCCACAGCUGGCUGUGAGUCAUUGACCGGUCAUAGGCCACAGUGGGGCUGCUGGAGACAGGGCAAGCCCCGAGCAUGAACAGAAGACAGUUCAGUCCGGUCCCAGCCUUCGGGGCCUCAGGGGGAUGUGUGCUCUUCCCAGUCCCUGUCUAGACACUACUGCACCCCAGCUAGGAUGGCGUUCCAUCUCUGUCUGCUUGAGCAGAACACCCCUUUCUAUUUCAGCUCUGCCAGCCCUGGCCCUGCACUGCUCAUGUCACAACCUGUGGGCACCUCCUCUGUACCAAGGGUGGAAUAGAGGCAGGGAGAGAGAGAUUUGUAGACACAGCGACUCAGAGACACACAGGGAAGAUGGACACAUGAUGAUGGAGGCAGAGAUUGGAGUGAUGCAGCUGUAAGCCAAGGAACACUGGGGAUUGCCGGCAAAUGCCAGGAGCUAGGAGAGAGGCAUGCAACAGACUCCCUCAGAGCCUCCAGAAGGAACCAAACCUGCUGACACGUUGAUUUUGGACUCUGGCCUCCUUAACUACGAGAGAGUAAAUUUCUGUUGGUUUAAGCCACCAAGUCUGUGGUAAUUUGUUAUGGCAGCUCUGGGAAACGAAUACAGUCACACACACACAUGCACACACACACACACGCACACACACAUGCUGCUGGCUCUAGGCUCAGUGACGAGGUUGGUGGAGUUCCUCUUGGGAGCUGCUCUGCCUCUGUCCUCCUUCCCCUGUGGCUGGUCCCAUGAACCCAAAAAAGCUCAUGGCCCAGGGCAGGAGCAUGAUAAUUUUCAAUCCCUCCUUCCCUCCCUGGAGUUGUUAACUAAGCAUCCCCCUCAAAAUCUGCUCUCAGGCAUGGGUUGCCAUGUUUACGUGCACUGAAAGACAUGUCCAAGAAUGCUAUGGCUGCUUUACUGCUAUUAAUUAAAAACUGGAAACAACCCAAAUGUCUAUCAACAGCAGAAUAGAUAAUAAAUUGUGGCAUAGCCACGCAAUGGAAGGCUGCUCAGCCACUAAAAAGGAAGACCUAAUGCUGCAGGAAUAGCAUGGAUGACCCUCACAGACCCCACACUGACCACACUGGGCCCCAUACAAAGAGUGUAUGCUCUAGGAGUCCGUGUGCGUGAGGUUCAAGAACAAAGCCAACCCGUGGUGAUAAAAGUCAGAAUAGUGGUUACUUCUGAGAGAUGGGGUUGACUGGGAGGGGCUUGAGGGAGCCUCCUGGGGUGCGGGAAUACUCUGUGCGUGAUCUGGGUGGUGGUUACAUGGGCAUAUACAUAUGCACAAGUUUGCCAGAUCUCUUAAGAUUUGUUCAAUUUGAUGCACAAACCUUACAAUUCAAUAAAAAGUAAGUUUUAAAAACUGGGUUCCCGGGAAGUCAAUGACCAGAAGCCACCGGAUAGCAUUGUCUGGUGGGGGCAGCUGCAGGGUUUGCCUUGUCCCCGUGCUGCACUGGUGUCCUCAUGCCUGGGACUGCUUGUGUGACAGACUUUUCAGGAUAUUUGUUGACUAUAAACAUGAAGCCUGGGGCUACCUGGGGAGACCAUGGGGUGUCAAUGCAGCCAGACCUUCCAGAGAUGACCUGUCUCUAGGUGGAAAUAGGGAGUGCACACGAUCCUACUGGAAUCUACUUCCCCAAUUAAAAACCAAAUGUGAUGAUUUCUUUCACAAAAAGCUCACAUUGAAGAAGAACAGCCACCUUUUAUUCAGGUUUUGCUAUCUGCCAGGCAUAGACCAAGUACCUUUGAGGGACACGGCCAUGUUACCAUUUCACAGACAAGAAAACUGAUGCUCCAAGAUGUUGAGUAAAUCCCCAAGGUCACACAGGAAGCUCAACAGAGGGGAUUUGAUGUGAUAGUCUGGGGCUCCCUGAGGGCAGGGCUGUGUCCCCCUCCUACUGGGCUCCGGGAUUUCUAGGCUGGAGGGGUUUAGGGGAGGACUUAUCUGAACCCGACUUUCGUGGCACAUGCACUGCUUUCCUGAAGCGGCUGGGAAGGGGCUGCUGACCUGGCUGCUCUGCUCCUUCUCACCCUGGCUCUCACCACUACGCCUAACUCAGGGCUCUGCCCACAGGUGUGCCAUAGUUUGGGACCAUGGACCUAGGGGUGAGGGAGGGAGGUGGGGGAGGGUGAGCAUCAGAAGGACCUGUCCCUUUGGGGGCUGUGCUGGGAUCAGUGCUGGAGGUGCCCACCCCUUCCCUCCCUUCCUGGCUGGCCCAGUGGGAGUCAGGACUACCCAGCCAAGCCAUCCAGAGGCACACUGAGCGGAGAGCUGGACCCUGCCCCUUGCCAGGAGGACCAGCUGGGAGAGGGACUCCAUUUAAGGAUGUAUGGAGGACAGAGCACAGGGCAGCCCCCAGCAUGCCCAGGCCCAGGUGCUCCUCACCCUGCCCACGCCUCACCAGCAGGAGCUGGGUCAUAUGAUGGGGGCGAGGUGGUAGGUGUAAUAGGAGCUGACAUCCUCUUCGGCCUGCCCUGUGACUAUAUUAAGUUCUGUGCUUGGUCUCCCCUCUCCCCCGCCCCCAGGACUUUCCUUCCUUCCCCAGGGAUCCUGCACUGCAGAUUAAGCAGUCAUUCCUCUCCCCUCCCCACUGUCCUAGGAAGGGGGCUGGAGCCUAAUGAGGUCAGAGCCAGGGGGUAGAGGAGCAGAGGCAGUAAAUUGAGGCCUUGGGUGCUAAUGAGCUGCAGAGGGAAGUGCCUGGGCGGGAGGCCGUGCUCCCGAGGCCUUAGCACCCUCACACUUAAUGUCCCCCACCCACCGCCCACACACAUGGCCCAGGGCUCACACAGAACACCCUUGCAGGCAGCUGAGACAUGGUUUACAUUCCUCCAGGCCAACCAUGGGUACCCCUGCACGUGUGCACCCCCCAGAGCCCGUUAUUACCCUCAUAACACUGUUCAGGAGCUCACGUCUGCACACCCAACUGUACAUGCAGGCACUCUCGCUUGCAGCCCUUUGCACUCAUGUGCAGACCGCCCACCCCUGUUACCAUUUCUCUUAAGCCCUCAGAGUCUGUGGCUGAAGCAGGGGGAGCCCUAUGGCUGCAGUGGGGUGGGGAAUGUAGUCUGGGGGCUACAGGCCAUUUGUAACCCCCGCCUAGAUCUAAGGGCUCAGUCUCCAUCUCCCCACCCCCUUGCAGUGAGACUCCCCACCCCAGGUUGAGGGCAGCGGGUAGGGCAGGGUUUAUUAAUAAACUUGCUCCUGACUGGAAAGGGCUGUGCAGAAGCCCCAACUUCAAGCCAAUCAUAGCAGAACUUUCCAGGAAUGUCACCCCAAAGCAAGCCUUUCUCUGACUCCAGGAUUAUUUCCCACCCCUGACUUCAUCCCCUUGGUGUGUGGGGCUCCUGCCAGGUUCCACUGACUCUGCCCAGCAGGCCUGCUGUCACCUGGCAGCUGACAUCUGCCUUGGCCGCCACCCAGAGAAAGUCACAGGCGGUCGGUAGUGGGGCGGGGAUUAGAACUGCUUCCUCCCUCAUCGAGUUCUACUCCUUGCUCCCCCAAACUGAGGACGGCUGAGCCCACUGUGUUGGGAAUGCAGAAUGGCCUCUGCCUCACCACCAACAGCAUUCUCACGCUGCCCUUGUACCCUGCUCCAAGUGGGGAGGAGCCCUGAAGGCAGAGAGCCCGGGCCAGCUUACUGGCCUUGUGACUUUGGGCAAGCAGAAUAUGACUUGUCUGUGGCUCAUUGUCAUCAUUUAUAAAGUGAGGAUGAAAUUGCCCACCCGAAGGUAGCUGUGAGAAUUAGGAAUGUGUGAUGGCUGGUGUGAACUGCAAAGGACUGUGUACAGGAGUGUAAAGUAAAUAAUAUUUAUGUUCUUGCCUCUAUCACUAAUUGCGUUCCCAUCUUUAUCACCGCCACCACCAUCACUAACACCUCCACUGUCACACCACCAUCUCCUUCCCACCAUCGUUUCAUCUCAUCUUCAGCACCAUCGCACUGCUAUCCUCAUCAGUACUUCCAUCACAACCACCACGUUAUCACCUAUCCAUCCUUCCAAGAACACUGAUUCAACUCCUACCAUGUUCAGGGUCACAUGAGUGGCCCUUUGGAGUGGUUUGAAGAGUGGCCUCCCAAAAGACUCAUCUGUGUCCAAACUCCUGGAACCUGUGAAUAUGACUAUGGGUUGAAUAGUGUCCCCCCAAAACAUUCAGGUUCACCUGGAACCUCAGAAUGUGCCCUUAUUUGGAAAUAGGGUCUUUGCAGAUGUGCUUCAGUUAAGGCUCUCAAGAUGAGAUCAUCCUGGAUUGAGGGUGGACUCUAAAUAGUGUCCUUAUAAGAAGAGGAGAGGGCAUACACAGAGACACCGGGGAGAAAGCCACGUGAAGACAGAGGCAGAAACUGGAGGGAUGCGGCCACGAGCUCAGCAACUCCGAGGAUUGCCAGGAGCCACCAGAAGCUGGAAGAGGCACUACUCUCCCCUCCCAGAGCCCUUGGAGGGAGCACGGCCCCGCCAACACCUUGAUGUCAGACUUUUAACCUCCAGAACUGUGAGGGAAUAAACUUCUGUUGUUUGAAGCCACCAAGUUUGCGGCAAUUUGUUGUGGUAGCCAUAGGAAACGAAUGCAA
rnacentral:lncRNA from 1 species